rnacentral:tRNA from 1 species
GUCUCCGUGGUCCAGUGGUUGAGCAUUGGGCUCAUAAUCCGGAGGUCCCGGGUUCGAAUCCCGGUGGGGACA